CACCAUGUGGCUCUUGCUGGCUGCACGGAAACUAAUGCAACUCGAGAGCCCCAUUUCCGGUUCCUUGGUCACGUGGUUAUUGCGACUCACUUUUAUGAAGGACUGGAAUCAACAUGCACUCUAAAACUUGCAGUUUAAAGAAAAACCUUAAACCUUUUUCCAGGUAUGAUGAUCCAGCAGCAUUUGGGUGAAUUAGAUGCCACAAGACUGCACAUCGGCUUGUACAACUUUGUUCCAUGAUGUGAAACAAACACGCUGGACCAUCAUGGCUUUUGGGAACAGGCAUCAUGAAUCCAGGGUGCAGAGGAUGUCCAGAGUUCCAGCACUUGCUUUUCUUUCUAAUGACAAAAGAGAAAUCGAUUCUGAAGCCCGUUUGAUGACCAUGUUCCCUACUUUUGCCUGUCCGAGGUUGUAAAUCAGGAGAUGACAUUAAGAUAAAGCUGGAAUGGACUCAUUGAUGCUCUUUAUGUGGAGAUGUAAAAGGCCCGUCUUGGAUUGCUGUUGCUUUUGAGUUAAAAAGCCGAUUGAUACCAGAGGACGUCAAUGUGGUGAUCAACUGUGUUUCUCUGCUAAUUCUUAGUCAGGUGUCUGCUUGCAGCAAAAGAGGACGUGAUCAUGCUGUAUCCAUUCGUAAUUGGGGCUCUUUAAAAAGGGUCCCCCCAACAUGGCUAAAUGAGGAAUGAUUGUUUUUGACUUAAUUUUGGUGUCUGAUUCUUGAAAAUAAAUGUAGACUUGGUGCUGUAGUGCUAAUUAUUGUAAAACAUUGAAAGAUUCUGUUUUUUCUAAUAAAAUGUUACUGGAC